rnacentral:misc_RNA from 1 species
AGUCGUAACAAGGUUUCCGUAGGUGAACCUGCGGAAGGAUCAUUACCGAGUGAGGGCCCUCUGGGUCCAACCUCCCACCCGUGUCUAUCGUACCUUGUUGCUUCGGCGGGCCCGCCGUUUCGACGGCCGCCGGGGAGGCCUUGCGCCCCCGGGCCCGCGCCCGCCGAAGACCCCAACAUGAACGCUGUUCUGAAAGUAUGCAGUCUGAGUUGAUUAUCGUAAUCAGUUAAAACUUUCAACAACGGAUCUCUUGGUUCCGGCAUCGAUGAAGAACGCAGCGAAAUGCGAUAAGUAAUGUGAAUUGCAGAAUUCAGUGAAUCAUCGAGUCUUUGAACGCACAUUGCGCCCCCUGGUAUUCCGGGGGGCAUGCCUGUCCGAGCGUCAUUGCUGCCCUCAAGCACGGCUUGUGUGUUGGGCCCCCGUCCCCCUCUCCCGGGGGACGGGCCCGAAAGGCAGCGGCGGCACCGCGUCCGGUCCUCGAGCGUAUGGGGCUUUGUCACCUGCUCUGUAGGCCCGGCCGGCGCCAGCCGACACCCAACUUUAUUUUUCUAAGGUUGACCUCGGAUCAGGUAGGGAUACCCGCUGAACUUAAGCAUAUCAAUAA